rnacentral:ribozyme from 11 species
GCCUUUUUUUCUUUCUUUCUUUCUUUCUUUCUUUCAUCUAAUCCAUGAUCAAAGAAAAUAAAAGGAUCGGAUCGAUCAAGAGGAAUGACGGGCCGGGGCAAAAGA